AAAACAUACUGUGAUCACAUGCAUCUAUUUUCCAUAACCUCCGCCCCGGAUGAUAAUUACCUAAGCGUUCAUAUUAAGAUACUUGGUGAUUGGACUAGAAAUCUAAAAGCCAAAUUCGUUAAGGCGUGCCACCCACCCCUCAAUGGCCAGAGUGGACUUCUAAGAGCUGACUGCAUCAAAGAAGACAGCCAAUCGAGGUGAGCCCAAAUCGAAGUGGGGAAAUUAUAAUACCAAGCGAUUAAUAUUUUACAAAACCACGUUAU